GUAGGUGGCAAGCGUUGUCCGGAAUUAUUGGGCGUAAAGCGCGCGCAGGCGGUUCUUUAAGUCUGAUGUGAAAGCCCACGGCUCAACCGUGGAGGGUCAUUGGAAACUGGAGAACUUGAGUACAGAAGAGGAAGGCGGAAUUCCACGUGUAGCGGUGAAAUGCGUAGAGAUGUGGAGGAACACCAGUGGCGAAGGCGGCUUUCUGGUCUGUAACUGACGCUGAGGCGCGAAAGCGUGGGGAGCAAACAGGAUUAGAUACCCUGGUAGUCCACGCCGUAAACGAUGAGUGCUAAGUGUUAGGGGGUUUCCGCCCCCCUUAGUGCUGCAGCUAACGCAUUAAGCACUCCGCCUGGGAGUACGGCCGCAAGGCUG
rnacentral:rRNA from 1 species